AAAAUACAUUGCGUAGCAAAGAGGACACUGACAAUGCGCCGACAGACAAAACAGAGCAAGUUACUUUAGAUCCUGUGAGUUGUGACAUUCAAGAACUGCCAUCAUUUGGACCUUUUCUACAUCAUGACAUGAAGACAGAUCUGCAUACUUGUCAUUGAUUGAUUGAUUCAUCCAUUCAAAGCUAUAACAAGAGUAUUUCCACGUUUCACUGUGAUAGCUUCAAGAGGAGGUGAAAGCAGAUUGAGGAGGUCGAGUGAGGCUAACGCAGGAAGAAGUGAAGUGAAAUGCUAACAGACACAGGCCACUGCUCUUCCCCUCUGGCAGGACAACUCUCCAUAACCCUAUACAGACACCGCUGCAUCCCCCGACACAUCCCCCAUCACUACCGAACUGACACGCCGCUCUCAUCCGCUCUGAUUCUGUGUGGGCGUCUACUUGCAUGUUAGUCAUUGUGAACGCAGUGCACAAACCUUUACGGCCUUUGUCAUGUAACCUUGCCCUUGCUCUAUCCCUGUAAAAGAAAAGAAAAGAGAAGAAAAUGCAAGGUGUUGAGUGGGAGGAAGUCAAAGAGGGAGUGAAAUGAAAGUGGGCGUGAAGCGUGUGCACUAUAAAAUAAAAGAUGAGAGGAAGCAGUUAAUGACCAGCCGAUAAUAAAUAAAGUGCAUGUCAGAUUAACAGUAAAAAGAGGGAACAAAUGAAGAGAGUGG
ensembl:lncRNA